rnacentral:rRNA from 1 species
UACGGAGGGUGCAAGCGUUACCCGGAAUCACUGGGCGUAAAGGGCGUGUAGGCGGCUUAUUAAGUCUGGCUUUAAAGACCGAGGCUCAACCUCGGGAGUGGGCUGGAUACUGGUGAGCUAGACGACUGGAGGGGAGGGUGGUGGAAUUCCCGGUGUAGUGGUGAAAUGCGUAGAGAUCGGGAGGAACACCCGUGGCGAAGGCGGCCACCUGGGCCGACCCUGACGCUGAGGCGCGAAGGCGUGGGGAGCGAACGGG